rnacentral:lncRNA from 1 species
UCUUCCCCCUAGGAAAUUUCCAUUGCAACUAAGUGAAAUUGCUAGAAAGGCUGGGCCGGCCUGGCGGCCUCUCCCUGGGGUCCAGCUUUUCCUGACUCAGCGCCCUUGCGGCCAAGGAGAAGGAGAUGGGAAAAGACUCCGCAGGUAGAUGUAGCGAGCAGAAAUGGGUCGCCGCCAAUAACAUUCCACCCGGACUAGGAGCGGGGAGUAUGGACGUGUCUCAAGUGACCGCUAUUCAUGCUGAACUCUGUCAACCAGACAUGCUGUGGCUUCAGAGUGGAGCCUGUGACUGCUUUAUGAGUUUGAAAGAAAAAUUUAGACUCUAUGCAGAAAAUGCCUUUAAAGUGAGACUUAGUAUCAGAACAGCUCUUGGAGAUAAAGCAUAUGUCUGGGAUACAAACGAAGAAUAUCUCUUCAGAGCAAUGGUGGCUUUCUCCAUGAGAAAAGUUCCCAACAGAGAAGCAACAGAGUAAGCAGUGAAAAAUUUUAACCGAUUGUUUGCAAUAUUAUUUGAAACAGUGCGUUAUUUCAAACCUUGAUCUUGAAAAUCAUUUAUUCAUCACUUUUUAGGAGACUCACAUUUUUAUGUAAUAUUCAAAAGAACUUUCGUAAUGGAGCUCAGCUUAUAGCUUGUAUGAUAUCAUGUACAGAAAUUCCCUUUGCUCGGUGGGUGAUAGGAAGAGAAAUAAACUCCCUAUUUCAGUAAUUUGUCUUCAGCUUUCUUCAUUUCUAUUUUUUAUGUAUUUUUCUUGUAGAGAGAGAUAGUGAAGAACUCCAUUCUCAUUUUGUUGUUGUUGUUGUUUUUUUGUUUUCUUUUGUUUUUGGUAACGGGGAUUGAACUCCGGUCCUUGAGCUUGCAAGAUAGGCCACCGAACUGCUG